UGACCAGACUCCUACGGGAGGCAGCAGUGGGGGAUAUUGCACAAUGGGGGAAACCCUGAUGCAGCGACGCCGCGUGGGUGAAGAAGCGCCUCGGCGCGUAAAGCCCUGUCAGCAGGGAAGAAAAUGACGGUACCUGAAGAAGAAGCCCCGGCUAACUACGUGCCAGCAGCCGCGGUAAUACGUAGGGGGCAAGCGUUAUCCGGAUUUACUGGGUGUAAAGGGGGCGCAGACGGCGAUGCAAGCCAGGAGUGAAAGCCCGGGGCCCAACCCCGGGACUGCUCUUGGAACUGCGUGGCUAGAGUGCAGGAGGGGCAGGCGGAAUUCCUGGUGUAGCGGUGAAAUGCGUAGAUAUUAGGAGGAACACCAGUGGCGAAGGCGGCUUACUGGACUGUAACUGACGUUGAGGCUCGAAAGCGUGGGGAGCAAACAGGAUUAGAUACCCCAGUA
rnacentral:rRNA from 1 species